rfam:Stegodyphus mimosarum contig116826, whole genome shotgun sequence.
GCCUUCAUGGUGUAGUGGUCAGCACGCUCGGCGCGUAUUCGAGAGGUCCGUGGUUCGAGUCCCGGCGAGGGCA